GAACAAGUACCGUGAGGGAAAGAUGAAAAGAACUUUGAAAAGAGAGUUAAUAAGUGCGUGAACCGUUAGAGGGGAAGCGGAUGAAGUUAGCAAUGCUCCCGCGAGAUUCAGGUGUUCUAUCUGGUUUGACGUGUGGCCGGCGGAUCCGAACGGACUGUCACCACUCGACUUGACCAGGUACUCACCGCACUUCUCGCAGGGGUGCGUCAACAGCUGCUGGAUCAAAGAUGUCGUCGUCUGUCGCCUCGUGUGAUGGAUUGGCGCGCUCGCGAGCUACACGGUACCGUCUGUGGAAGGUAGGUGUUCGACCUCGGUCGGGCACUGUUAUAGCCACUAGUGUCCCAGCUCGCAUCUGGCAGAGGAGCUGGCUGACGACGACUGGCUUUCUAGUCGGUGCGGCGUUCAGUCGGUGCGGUGCGUGCUCUUCGCUUGUCGAGGGGCUGGCGUCCUGUCGCGUUCACAACUCCUAGUCGUAUGCGGUGCACUGCGUGCAGUUCGCUGCAGAUGGACAAAGAGGCGCCCAGUGCACGCACACCACGUGCCAAGGUUGUUGGCGGCCAUAUGGCUUCAUCCGACCCGUCUUGAAACACGGACCAAGGAGUCUAACAUGUGCGCAAGUCUUGGGGUGACCGAAACCCAAGGGCACAAUGAAAGUGAAGGUCGCUGCACUCGGCUCGCCCACCUUCCAGUGGCGCGUGCUGGCUGUACGGCUGAGGUGAGAUCGCCUCUGGACGUCCGCUCUCGCGGCGGGCGUCCGGUGGUGCGCAUCAUCGACCGACCUAUUCUACUCCUAGAAAGUUUGAGUAAGAGCGUACAUGAUGGACCCCGUCACUAUCGUGAUGGCGAAUUGUAGUCUCGAGAAGCGUCUUCACGGUGGAUCCUGCCUGCCCAAGUUGCUUGGAACAGCACAUCGGAGAGGGUGACAAUCCCGUGUGUGGCAGGUGGGACUGCUCAUGAUGCGCUUUCCAUGAGUCGGGUUGCUUGGGAAUGCAGCCCAAAAUUGGUGGUAGACUCCAUCUAAAGCUGAAUACUGGCACGAGACCGAUAGCGAACAAGUACCGUGAGGGAAAGAUGAAAAGAACUUUGAAAAGAGAGUUAAAAAGUGCGUGAAACCGUUAGAGGGGAAGCGGAUGAAGUUAGCAAUGCUCCCGCGAGAUUCAGGUGGUCUAUCUGGUUUGACGUGUGGCCGGCGGAUCCGAACGGACUGUCACCACUCGACUUGACCAGGUACUCACCGCACUUCUCGCAGGGGUGCGUCAACAGCUGCUGGAUCAAAGAUGUCGUCGUCUGUCGCCUCGUGUGAUGGAUUGGCGCGCUCGCGAGCUACACGGUACCGUCUGUGGAAGGUAGGUGUUCGACCUCGGUCGGGCACUGUUAUAGCCACUGGUGUCCCAGCUCGCAUCUGGCAGAGGAGCUGGCUGACGACGACUGGCUUUCUAGUCGGUGCGGCGUUCAGUCGGUGCGGUGCGUGCUCUUCGCUUGUCGAGGGGCUGGCGUCCUGUCGCGUUCACAACUCCUAGUCGUCUGCGGUGCACUGCGUGCAGUUCGCUGCAGAUGGACAAAGAGGCGCCCAGUGCACGCACACCACGUGCCAAGGUUGUUGGCGGCCAUAUGGCUUCAUCCGACCCGUCUUGAAACACGGACCAAGGAGUCUAACAUGUGCGCAAGUCUUGGGGUGACCGAAACCCAAGGGCACAAUGAAAGUGAAGGUCGCUGCACUCGGCUCGCCCACCUUCCAGUGGCGCGUGCUGGCUGUACGGCUGAGGUGAGAUCGCCUCUGGACGUCCGUUCUCGCGGCGGGCGUCCGGUGGUGCGCAUCAUCGACCGACCUAUUCUACUCCUAGAAAGGUUUGAGUAAGAGCGUACAUGAUGGGACC
rnacentral:rRNA from 1 species